rnacentral:lncRNA from 1 species
AAGUUUAGGGUGUGAUAUUAGGGAAGCAAGACAAAGAUUUUUAUUGGCUCCCAUUUACCCCCUGUGACCUUCACUACGUUCCUCACUCAUGUGCGCGCACUCUUUAACAAGGGCAUUAUUCUCGUUAUCUAUAUAUGGUGACUUUAUCAAUUUUGAUCCACAAGGCUGGCUGCAGAGCUCCAAACAGGUGAUUAUUCUUCUUUCAUCUCAUACUAAGACCGACUAGGAUGUAUGUAAAAACACAAAUGCAUUUUUAACAACCUAGUCUAUUAGAAAACAAAUGAUUCAAUAACUAGGAACUGCUGUUUGAGAAGGAACUAAUUAACGGCAGGUGAGCACAUUCGAAUAAUUAAUCAGCUAGCUAGACCAUGACCAUGAAUGAAAACACUCGCUCUAACUCCAAAGUAUACUGCUACUACUCCUAUGGUAAAUGAGGAAGAGGGCUCAGAUAUAUAAUAUGGAGUGGAAUCCAUAUAUCUGAGACCGCGUGGCAGGGAGAGGACGAGCGGUCUGACCUGGCAAACGACCUUGUGCCAUUAGGCCAGCAAGAUUGGACAAAGUUCAAACCAACCAUAUGGUAGAAUCAGCUUUUCUUCUUUUCUGUCACCGUUUCAGACUAACUGUACAAUACAGAUGAUUUCCCUGUCACACAGGCACUGAGAAACUGAAAUCUAAAUGGAAGAAUGAACACGCAAACCAAGCAAGAGGAAACCAGGGAGCAAAUCUCACAGGGUUUUCAGGUAAAAACAGGACACAGGCGACUCUAGCACAAUUUCAUGUCAUUUUUCUUCUAUAAAUUAUUUUUUUGCCAAGACUCAUCAACCAUCUCCUCCACCAGACAGCCGUCCAGACCAGAC